CUCGCCUGGGCCGCGGCCUGAGCAGAAGCGCUAGGAGGUAGAACAGCGUCCAGCGGGGAGAGGAGCUAGAGUCGGCAUCGGGAAGCCCACCCUGGAGCCUGCUUAGCUUGACGAGCCCUCAACCGGGGCGCCCUGCUCUGCGAAGAGUAACCCUGCAUCCUCAGAACAACCGUGAUUGUCUUCAUUCCUACAUAUGAGGAACGGAGGCGCGGAGCCCCACGGCAGCCGGGGAUCCAAAGACAGCCUCCCUCCAGUUCCAUCUGCCGGCUCUUGGAAGGCCUGGAUCCCUGUCCUUCAGGGCCCAGCCCAAAUGCCGCCUCGUCCAUCUGCAUUUUACGGCCAGGUGCCCCGCUGCGGGCACGGCUUCUUGUAAAAUGCUCAGCUCAGCAGUGGGCGAGGCAGGGUCCCUGCCCCAUGGGAUGGAGGGCGGAGAUCAGGACCCACAAGAGCCCAAAGAAGACCAUUUUGGUCGGUGAAGACCAAAGAAAUUCAAGCAGGAGGAUGUGACAGGAGCUUUUGGGAAAGCCUCUGAGGAGGUGACAGCCAUGCAACCGUGUUCGGGGAAGUGUGCCGCAGGCAGAGGGGAAAUGAGUGCAAAAGCCCUGAAGCUGGAGUUCGGUGUCUGGAUAACAGGAAAGGCCUGCAUAGCUGAUGUGUGCCAGAGGGGAGAAAGAUCUGUGACACAGGGGGGCCGCCAUGUUUAAUUUGGAGUUUUGUGUGGAAGGGGGUCAUUCAUUGAGUCUGAAUUGGGAGUUCCGAGGUCUCAUUUAUAUUUUAGAAAGUUCUCUCCUGCUACUAUGCAGAGAUUGGGCUGUAGGAGAGACAAGAGGGGAAGUGGGGACUCUAGCUACAGUAGCUCUUCCAGGGGUCUGGGUGACGUAGAUUUACAAACCAGAGUAUUAGCUCAGGCUGCCAUGACAAAAUACCCCAGACCAGGCAGCUUAGACAACAGGAAUUUAUUUUCUCACAGUUUUAGAGGCUGCAAAUCUAAGGUCUGGGUGCCGGCAGGGCUGGUUUCUGGUGAGGCCUCUCUCCCUGGCUUGCAAACAGCUGCCUUCUCACUGUGUCCUCCUAUGACCUUUUCUCUGUGAGCAGGAAUCCCUGGUGUGUCUUCCUUUUUCUUACAAGAACAACAAUUUUACUAGAUUAGGGCCCCACCCUAUGACUUCAUUUAACCCCAGUGACUACCUAAAAGGCCGUAUUCAAAUAGUCGUAUUAGGCCAGGCGCAGUGGCUCACGCCUGUAAUUCUAGCACUUUGGGAAGCCGAGGCAGAUGGAUUGCCUGAGCUCAGGAGUUGGAGACCAGCCUGGGCAACACAAUGAGACCCCGUCUUUACUAAAAUACAAAAAAUUAGCCGGGCAUGGCGACGUGCACAUGUAAUCCCAGCUACUCGGGAGGCUGAGGCAGGAGAAUCGCUUGAACCUGGGAGGCAGAGGUUGCAGUGAGCUGAGAUCGCGCCAUUGCACUCCAUAUUGGGCGAGAGAGAGAGUCUGUACCAAAAAAAAAAAAAAAAGUAUAAGGGUCCUAUGACUUCAUUUAACCCUAAUGACUGCCUAAUAUGCCUAAUAGCCAUAUUAGGGUUAGAGCUUCAACAUACGGACUCCGGGGUGGGUAUGUGCGGAGCGGGGAGCGUUUCAGUCCGUAACACCAGGUAAGUGCUGCAACAGAUAUUGGAGAGCUGAUGGGCUGUGGUUUUAGGGAAGCUCCUCUAAGAAAGGGGUGGAUUAUACCGGGCGCACUGGCUCACAUCUAUAAUCCCAGCACUUUGGGAGGCCGAGGCAGGGGGAUCACGAGGUCAGAAGUUCAAGACCAGCUUGGCCAACAUGGUGAAACCCUGUCUCUACUAAAAAUACAAAAAUUAGCCAAGCAUGGAGGCAGGCGCCUGUAAUCCCAGCUCCUGGGGAGGCUGAGGCAGGAGAAUCACUUGAACCUGGGAGGUGGAGGUUGUGGUGAGUCGAGAUCGCGCCACUGUACUCCAGCCUGGGCGACACAGCGAGACUCCGUCUCAAAACAAAAUAAGAAAAAGAAAGGGGUGGAUUAUUCUCGUGACCAGAGGCUGCUCAUCAUUCAGGCCUCAACUACAGUAGCCUCUCUUGGAGAGGCCUUCACUGACAGCCCAUCUAAAAGUUGCUCACUAACACAGCGCCCUAUCUGAUCUUCCAAGCAGUCAUCAUGAUCUGAAAUGACCUCGUCUAGUCCUGUUGCCAGAAGGCUCAGGAGGUCUCUGGAUACUGGUGACACCCCAGCCCCAGCCAGUUUCCAGGUUCUUGACACCUUGGAGAGAAAGAAUUCAAGAAUGAGUUGAAUGAAGCAAAGGGCAAGAAGGUUUUUUUUUGUUGUUUGUUGUUUUUGUUUUUUUUGAGACAGGAUCUCAGUCUGUCACCCAGGCUGGAGUACAGAGGCGCAAUCAUGGCUCACUGCAGUCUUGAUCUCCCGGGCUCGGGUGAUUCCCGCCACCUCAGCUUCCUGAGCAGCUGGGACUAGUACCACACCGGCUAAGUUUUUGGGGUUUUUUUUGUUUUUGUAGAGACAGGGUUUUGCCAUGUUGCCCAGGCUGGUCCCAAACUCCUGGGCUCAAGCAGUCCUCCCACCUUGACCUCCCAAAGUGCUGGCAUUACAGUUGUAAGACACUGCACCGAGCUGCAAGAAGCUUUUAUUGCAAAGUGAACAUACACAUUUAAGAGAGAAGUGCAGGCAUGCCCGUGAGAAUGAGUCUUGCACAAUGGAGUUUGGGUUCCUAAUUUUAUGGGUGUUUCUUUUAGUUACAGGAUGGAAUUAUCGUUAGGCAUUCUGGAAAGGGAGGGGAUUUCAGGGACCUCCACCUCAAUUACUGUCUCCUUUCUUCCUUAUCUGGGUUUGCUGGAAGAAGCAUGGACAUGUCACCCUGGCCAGAGUUUUGGCCAUCUUCUCUCCCUUGGGUUUUCUGUUAUCCUAUGGUUUAUUUGCCUAGUUCCUGUUUCAGCUGUUUGGGUUUUUCCAUCCUCCUGUGACCACCCAGUGCUGUUCCUGUCUCAGGCAUUUGGGCGCUUGUUUGUGGUCGGCCUCCAACCCUACAGGAGAGCAGAGACUCUGCUUUUUUUGUUUUGUUUUGUUUUUGCUUUUUGAGACAGAGUUUUGCUCUUGUUGCCCAGGCUGGAGUGCAAUACAUAAUCUUGGCUCACUGCAACCUCUGCCUCCCAGGUUGAAGCGAUUCUCCUGCCUCAGCCUCCCAAGUAGCUUGGAUUACAGGCGUGCGCCGCCACCUCACCCGGCUGAUUUUUGUAUUUUUAGUAGAGACGGGGUUUCUCCAUGUUGGUCAGGCUGGUCUUGAACUCCUGACCUCAGGUGAUCCACCUACCUCGGCCUUCCAAAGUAUUGGGAUUACAGGCAUGAGCCACCACGCCUGGCCCAAACCAGUUUCUUUUGUCCUAUAUUCUCAGCCCCUUGAUAGUAGGUAGCACCCCUUAAAUACUUCUGGAGUGGAUGUCUCAAGCAAGCCUGAGGCUAAGAUCUGAUUAGAAGCGUGAGUAGGAGAUAUCCUAAUGCAGUGGUGCAUGUAGAAAAGAAAAAAGCCUGAUGCGGUGGCUCCCGCCUGUAAUCACAACACUGGGAGGCUGAGGUGGGCGGAUCGCUUGAGGCCAGGAGUUCAAGACCUGCCUGGCCAACAUGGCGGAACCACAUCUGUACUAAAAAUACAAAAAUUAGCCAGGCGUUGUGGCGGGUGCCUGUAAUCCCAGCUACUUGGAAGGCUGAGGCACUCAUGCCACUGCACUCCAGCCUGGGUGACAGAGUGAGAUUCCAUCUCAAAAAAAAAAAAAAAAAAAAAAGCUCUUGUGAUUGCAUUGGGUCCACCUGGAUAACCCAAGAUGGUCUCUUCAUCUCAAGAUUGUAACUUAAUCCCAAUAGCAAACUCCCUUUUGCUAGGUAACAGGUUACUGGGGUCAGCAUGUGGACAUCUUUGGGGAACCAUUAUUCUGCCUACCACAGAGAGCAAAGUAAAGGACAUCUGCGUAUGGGUGUGCCUGCUUCCUGGAAUCCCCAUCUCCAGCCCUUGUUGAGGUGAUGACACUCCCUAUUCCCCCACCCCUGGUAGCACUAGGUGCUGUAGUGCUGAGGAAAAUAGACUGACUCAUUCCUCAGGCUUCCACUCUAGUGGGAGAAAUUUUCAGUUUCUUCAUUGGAUAUUACACUGACAAGUACACUCUCUAAGGACCUAUUAUGUGCCCCAUGCCUGAGGGUACAAAGUUGGAUAAGACAGGAUUCCUGCCCUCACCCAGCCUACGGUCAGGUCAAGGAUUCAGGCUGUGUUCAUCAGUGAUUCUAGGGGUGGCCAGGGUAGGCGGAGGAGUCUGUGGAGCCACCUAGGAGUGACCUCUUCAUUCUCUCCAGAAAUACUUACAGAGCACUUACUCUGUGCCAGAUACUAUUCUAAAUUCAUGGGAUGUGUCAGUACAGAACAAAGAUCACUAUCCUAAUGAAGUUUACAUUCCAGGAGAGUGAAACAGACAACAAUAUAAGUAAAUCAUAGAGUAUGUUAGAGGAUGCUAAGUAUUAUGUUUAAAGAAAAAGCAGGGGUGGGCAGAAGCCGAGCACAGUGGCUCCACCUGUCAUCCCAGCACUUUGGGAGACUGAGGCAGAAGUUCGAAACUACUUUGGGCACCAUGGUGAGACAGUGUCGCUACAAACAAAAAAGGUGGGGAAAGGGGGAGACGUAGAAGCAACAGUACUUAAAGACACUGAUAUAGAUGCCAGAUUGAGAAGUAUACAGGGUGGUUAUCAAUGAAUGCUAUGAAGAUACCAUAAAGGAGAUGGUGACAGGCUAUUCUGGGCACACUGCUUGUGGGGUAGCCCUGCUCUGCAAGAAGCGGGGUUUUGUUUUUUUUGUGUGUGUUUUUUUGGGAAAAUUUAAUUUUGGGCCAGACAUGGUGGUUCAUGCCUAUAAUCCCAGCACUUUGGGACGCUAAGGUGGGCAGAUCACCUGAGGUCAGGAGUUUGAGACCAGCCUGGCCAACAUGGCAAAACCUCGUCUCUACUAAAAAUACAAAAAUUAGCCAGGCAUGGUGAUGCGCACCUGUAAUCCCAGCUACUCAGGGAGGCUGAGGCAGGAGAAUCACUUGAACCUGGGAGGCGGUGGUUGCAGUGAGCUGAGAUCACACCACUGCACUCCAGCCUGGGCGACAGAGUGAGACUCCCAUCUCAAAUAAUAAUUUUUUAAUUAAUUGAAGGAGAUGAUGGGGAAACCAAGUCAUACAAAAGGGGUUGCAGAGUCAUUCCUGUAGGGGUCCAGCCGGUAACCUAAUGAGCCUGCCCAGGGGUCAGCGUAGACUCAGGAACACCCUGUCCACUCUAGCUAAGGUAACAACUGCUUCCCAGGCCUCUCUGUUCUUGCCAUGUGGUCUACAAAUGCAGUUUUGCCAGAAACUCCAGGCGUAUUUCAAGAUUAGCUAGAAAUUGGGAUUUUAUUACAACAAAUACUCUACUUUGAAAAGUUAAUUAGUAGAAAAAAGAAACACUAUGUAAUACAAAUAAGCCAUGUCCAUAGGCAGCAGUGAGCCCAUGGGCCACCCACUUGCAACAUCUGUCGUAAAAACUAAAUAAGAUAUAGAUAGAUCUUAGGACAGACCUUCUAGAUUCAUUAAUGGGAGUUAUGAUGUAGUCACCAGAUACUGUAGUGAAUGCCAUAAAAAAUACAGAUGGGGUUAGGUGGGGUGGCUUAUACCUGUAAUCUCAGCACUUUGGGAGGCCGAGGGAGGUGAACCACUUGAGGUCAGGGGUUCGAGGCCAGCCUGGGAAACAUGGUGAAAUGCCGUCUCUACUAUAAAUACAAAAAUUAGCUGGACGUGGUAGUGGGCGCCUGUAAUUCCAGCUACUUAGGAGGCUGAGGUGAAAGAAUCGCUUGAACCCAGGAGGCAGAGGUUGUAGUGAGCCGAGAUCGACCCACUGCACUCCAGCCUGGGUGACAGAGCAAGACUUUGUCUCAAAAAAUAUACGUGUG
rnacentral:lncRNA from 1 species